UGAUAAUGGAAUAAACCUCUGAACUGUUGAGAAAGACACCCAGAUUGCAACAUCAGAAGACCUGCUCUCUGAUGGGGUCCAGAGCCUGUUGGCGACUGCAGGAUCACGAACAGGUCAGGGACCAACUGGCUGAAUUGUCACUGAAUAGGUUGGAGGUGAGAAUGCUGGAGAGAGAUCCUCAAGACAAGAAAUUAGGUGAGUGCAGGAGAGGGGCAGCGUGUACUCUUUAUGGAGCCUCUCCUAUCCUCACUACAGGGACUUGGACACAUUUUCCUUCUUUGCAACCCAACUAUGUACAGCAAGCAAAUAGGCUUCCCCUCUCAGCCCGCCUCUCCCCCUUACGUUUCACCAGGAAGUACAAACUCUAUCUGGCUACCUGAGAGUCUUGGAUACCGCCACAUCAUAUCCAGAUUCCCUGUGGAGUCCGCUGAAGAUGCAUUGUGACCAGGCAUUAAGCAAUUAAUUGUGCUCAGUUCAUACCCAGGCCAUUCAUAUAAACAACUAUCUUGCACUCUGA